rnacentral:rRNA from 1 species
AACGAACGCUGGCGGCAGGCCUAACACAUGCAAGUCGAGCGAACCGCAAGGUUAGCGGCGGACGGGUUAGUAACGCGUGGGAACGUGCCCAAAGGUACGGAAUAGCCUCGGGAAACUGAGAGUAAUACCGUAUGCGCCCGAAAGGGGAAAAAUUUAUCGCCUUUGGGUCGGCCCGCGUUGGAUUAGGUAGUUGGUGGGGUAAUGGCCUACCAAUCCGACGAUCCAUAGCUGGUUUGAGAGGAUGAUCAGCAGCACUUGGACGGAGACACGGCCCAGACUUCUAGCGGAGGCAGCAGUGGUGGAUCAUAGACAAUGGGGGAACACCUGCUCUAGCCAUGCCGCGUGGGCGAUGGAGGCCUUAGGGUUGUAAAACUCUUGCACCGGUGAAGACAAUGACGGUACCCGGAGAAGAAGCCCCGGCUAACUCCGUGCCAGCCGCCGCGGUAAAAC